rnacentral:rRNA from 1 species
CCUACGGGAUGCAGCAGUGGGGAAUAUUGGGCAAUGGAGGCAACUCUGACCCAGCAACGCCGCGUGAAUGAUGAAGGUCCUCGGAUUGUAAAGUUCUGUGAUGGGGGAUGAACAAAAUGACGGUACCCCAAUAGCAAGCAACGGCGAACUACGUGACAGCAGCCGCGGUAAUACGUAGGUUGCAAGCGUUAUCAGGAAUGACUGGGCGUAAAGGGUGCGUAGGUGUUUUAGUAAGUUGACGGUGUAAUUCCGGGGCUCAACAUCGGCGCUUUCGCCGAAACGAUUAGACUCGAGUGCAGGAGGAGUAAGUGGAAUUCCUAGUGUAGCGGUGGAAUGCGUAGAUAUUAGGAGGAACAUCAGGUGCGAAGGCGACUUACUGGACUGUAACUGACACUGAGGCACGAAAGCGUGGGGAGCAAACAGGAUUAGAUACCCCUGUAGUC